CAGCAGCCGCGGUAAUACGUAGGUCCCGAGCGUUGUCCGGAUUUAUUGGGCGUAAAGCGAGCGCAGGCGGUUAGAUAAGUCUGAAGUUAAAGGCUGUGGCUUAACCAUAGUACGCUUUGGAAACUGUUUAACUUGAGUGCAAGAGGGGAGAGUGGAAUUCCAUGUGUAGCGGUGAAAUGCGUAGAUAUAUGGAGGAACACCGGUGGCGAAAGCGGCUCUCUGGCUUGUAACUGACGCUGCGGCUCGAAAGCGUGGGGAGCAAACAGGAUUAGAUACCCGUGUAGUCCCUGUCUCUUAUACA
rnacentral:rRNA from 1 species